rnacentral:miRNA from 1 species
UGUGUGUGUGUGUGUGUGUGUGUGUGUAUAUAUAUAUACACACACACACACACAUACAUACACACACA